rnacentral:rRNA from 1 species
UUACAAUGGAGAGUUUGAUCCUGGCUCAGGAUGAACGCUAGCGGCAGGCCUAAUACAUGCAAGUCGGACGGGAUUGAAGAGCUUGCUUUUCAUGAGAGUGGCGCACGGGUGCGUAACACGUAUGUAACCUACCCAUAUCAGGGGGAUAGCCUCUCGAAAGAGAGAUUAAGCCCGCAUAAAAUCACAGUACAGCAUUGUAUAAUGAUCAAAUAUUUAUAGGAUAUGGAUGGGCAUGC